ACUGCUGCCCUUCGCCGCCGCCCCCGGCAGUGCUCGCUCUCUCUAGGCCCCAUGUAAAUCGCUGUGUUUGCUGGGGAGCCCUUAGUUCAAUUCUCAGGGGAUUAGGGCCAUUGAGAUUCUUAAUCAAUUGCUGGGUUCCACGCGAUCCUCUUUAGAAACUUUUUGCUUAAUAUGCAUCUAGAGACAUGCACGGCCCGCCUGCAGCGCUGGAGCCGAUGGAGUGGAGCCUGGGAGGCUGCAGGCGACCCCCAGGCUUCUAAACAGCAACGUCAGUUUAAUUAUUGCAGAUCCGUCACAGCUGCCAAGUCCUCUCUGUCUUCGUUGUUGUUAACGGGGAAACUUGCCGCCCGGUGGCUUUGCUUCAGGCGGAAGUCCGCGUGCUUUGAUACCCUCAGGGGGCACUUACAGGCUAGGUGGACACAGACACUAGUCCCACUUCUUUGGUUAUCUGUAUUCUGAGUCCACAAAUCAGAGGCAUCCAGUUGAAAAAGCUGAAAGCUUCUAGAAUGGCACUAUCCAAUAUGGUAGCCAGUGGCCCCCUGUGGCUACUGUGCACUUAAAAUGUGGCCAGUCCUAACUGCAACGUGCUGAAAAGACAGAAGCUGAUUGAGGUCCCAGCUUGGUAACAGUUUGAAGAGUUGCAGGACUGGCUGGAUGAGUACUGGCUGCAGCAAAUCAGGCUGCCAGGAUUCUUUAUGGCUGUUUCUGCUUCCACUACAGCUGAGUCAGAAAGGUCGCUGCCCCGUGGUGGCACUAGACGCAGUGGACCUGGCAAGCAAAUGUUUCCGCUAUUAGCUCUCAGCAACAGAGACUCAUUUAUGGUCACCUUGGAAAUCUGGGCUUAUCGAUCUACAGCCCAAGUCUGCUGAGAAGCUGGAGCUUACUAAAGGGGAAACCUGAGAGCUGUUCAAGCCCCAAAUAUUUUCCACUUCUGCGUCACCUCUGCUGUCUGUUAGCAGAGUGGAGGAGAAAAUACACAGCACAAACAACGUGAAAAAAUAGUUACUCUAUUCAUUAAAAGCUGUAACUUCCAGAUUGGACUUGAGAAGCAAUUAAGCAACAGAGGAACCUCAUCUACUAUCUGUAUUCAGGCAUGCUCAUGAGAACACGCUGCUCCAGCUGGACUUAGAGGAACCCGGUGCAUCACAGGCAUUCCUGACAGAGUCUCGUGGUCCUGCUGGUCCACUCAGUGGUACUCAGUCCUCCUCAUUCUCGGGGAUAGGUUCCAAGACCCCCAGGGGAUGCCUGAAAC
rnacentral:lncRNA from 1 species